rnacentral:rRNA from 1 species
UACGUAGGGUGCGAGCGUUGUCCGGAAUUAUUGGGCGUAAAGAGCUUGUAGGUGGUUUGUCGCGUCUGCUGUGAAAAUCCGAGGCUCAACCUCGGACUUGCAGUGGGUACGGGCAGACUAGAGUGUGGUAGGGGAGACUGGAAUUCCUGGUGUAGCGGUGGAAUGCGGCAGAUAUCAGGAGGAACACCGAUGGCGAAGGCAGGUCUCUGGGCCAUUACUGACACUGAGAAGCGAAAGCAUGGGGAGCGAACAGG